UGUAGAAUAUAUUUCAGAGGAAGGAACUGGCAAAACAUCCUUUGGCUAAGAAAACCCUAUGAAAUCCAUGAGGUUGCCAUAAGUUCAAAGGCAAUUUGAAGGCAGAGGCACAUAUACAUGGUAAUAAGUCAAUGGGCAAGUCCAAAAGGAUGGCAAGUGAAAAUGACUUGAGUUGAUUGGACUAAUUCCAGGUAAAUCCAGAAAUGUUGCUGUGUAAAUUCCUUUGGUGCCAGAGGUCAUUUUUCUGGCCAGCAGCAGAACAGAAAGGUAAUUGGUUGGGGGAGCACCAAAAUUCUGUUCGUCUACACUUGAAAAUGAUCUUGGGCUGGCCCUGCCCACAAGGAUGGUAAAACAUCAAACAUCCGGACAUCCCCAGGGCAACGGCCUUGCAGACGGCCAAUUCUCUCACACCAGAAGCAACCUGCAGUUUCUCAAGUCACUCCUGACAUGAAAAAAAUCCUAUAACUCCAGAAAUUUCUGAAAACUGGUGUGUGUGUGUUUGUGUUAGAAACUAAAAUAUUCUUAAGAAAAAGGUAAGUCAUUGUUGUGUUGUGCACUUUUAACAGCUCCAGAAGAAGGCCAGUAUGUGA
rnacentral:lncRNA from 11 species